CAGUAGCGUAUGUAAAAAUUGUUGCAGUUAAAAAGCUCGUAGUUGAACUUGUGGAUUUUUUUAUAUGGUUGUCAUCUAGUAUGAGACCUGAAUAAAAGAAUUCUUCUUGUUAAAGACUUAUAACUCUAUUUAUUUAGUAGUUUUAAUGGAUUUGACUUUUUUACCUUGAAGAAAUUGGAGUGUUCAAAGCAGGCUUAAUGCAGUUGAACAUAUCGCAAGGAAUAAUAGAAUAGGAUUGAAUUACUAUUGAGUUGGCAAUAGAAUUCGGUAAUGAUUAAUAGGAACCGUCGGGGUUCUCUGUACUCGAGCGCUAGAGGUGAAAUUCUUGGAUUGCUCGAUGACAAACAAAUGCGAAAGCAUUGAACAAGGAGGUCUNCAUUAA
rnacentral:rRNA from 1 species